rnacentral:rRNA from 1 species
GCAUAUCCAAUAAGCGGAGGGAAAAGAAACCAACAGGGAUUGCCUUAGUAACGGCGAGUGAAGCGGCAACAGCUCAAAUUUGAAAGCUGGCCCUUUUAGGGUCCGCGUUGUAAUUUGUAGAGGAUGAUUCGGCGAGGGCUCCUGCCUAAGUCCCCUGGAACGGGGCGUCAUAGAGGGUGAGAAUCCCGUAUGCGGUAGGUUGCCUUAGCCAUGUGAAUCUCCUUCGACGAGUCGAGUUGUUUGGGAAUGCAGCUCUAAAUGGGAGGUAAAUUUCUUCUAAAGCUAAAUACUGGCCAGAGACCGAUAGCGCACAAGUAGAGUGAUCGAAAGAUGAAAAGCACUUUGGAAAGAGAGUUAAAAAGUACGUGAAAUUGUUGAAAGGGAAGCGCUUGCAACCAGACUUGUCCGCAGUUGCUCAGCCGGUCUCCUGACCGGCGUACUCUUCUGCGGCCAGGCCAGCAUCAGUUCGGGCGGUCGGAUAAAGGCCUCGGGAAUGUAGCUCCUCUCGGGGAGUGUUAUAGCCCGGGGUGGAAUGCGACCAGCCUGGACUGAGGAUCUCGCUUCGGCAAGGAUGCUGGCGUAAUGGUUGUAAGCGGCCCGUCUUGAAACACGGACCAAGGAGUCUAACAUCUAUGCGAGUGUUCGGGUGUCAAACCCGUACGCGUAAUGAAAGUGAACGGAGGUGGGAACCCGCAAGGGUGCACCAUCGGCCGAUCCUGAUGUCUUCGGAUGGAUUUGAGCAAGAGCAUAGCUGUUGGGACCCGAAAGAUGGUGAACUAUGCCUGAAUAGGGUGAAGCCAGAGGAAACUCUGGUGGAGGCUCGCAGCGGUUCUGACGUGCAAAUCGAUCGUCAAAUUUGGGUAUAGGGGCGAAAGACUAAUCGAAACCAUCUAGUAGCUGGUCUGCGA